GAUGAACGCUGGCGGCGUGCCUAAUACAUGCAAGUCGAGCGAACGGACGAGAAGCUUGCUUUUCUGAUGUUAGCGGCGGACGGGUGAGUAACACGUGGAUAACCUACCUAUAAGACUGGGAUAACUUCGGGAAACCGGAGCUAAUACCGGAUAAUAUUUUGAACCGCAUGGUUCAAAAGUGAAAGACGGUCUUGCUGUCACUUAUAGACGGAUCCGCGCUGCAUUAGCUAGUUGGUAAGGUAACGGCUUACCAAGGCAACGAUGCAUAGCCGACCUGAGAGGGUGAUCGGCCACACUGGAACUGAGACACGGUCCAGACUCCUACGGGAGGCAGUAGUAGGGAAUCUUCCGCAAUGGGCGAAAGCCUGACGGAGCAACGCCGCGUGAGUGAUGAAGGUCUUCGGAUCGUAAAACUCUGUUAUUAGGGAAGAACAUAUGUGUAAGUAACUGUGCACAUCUUGACGGUACCUAAUCAGAAAGCCACGGCUAACUACGUG
rnacentral:rRNA from 1 species